CAGGCUUAAGGGGGAGCGGGCAGUGUGCCCUCCAGUGAGCCUCCAGGAACAUCUGGGGGUUCGACGUCUGGGUUUAUCUGUGUUUCUAAAAGGAUUACAUUUCAGACGCAUUCAAGGCGCAAAGCGCACAUUCGAACCCCGGGCUUCGGACGCUUUCCCCACACCGAAGGCGGGCAGAAAGACGAACCUCCUCCAGAACAAUCCAGAAAUGAAACAUUUACGGUAACAGUCAGCCGUCCGGAGACCCCGGAGCCACACCCCAGGCCCCACUGUCGUUCUCCUCCCUCGAGCUCAGUUUCCCCACCUGUAAAGUGGGGCUGAGGAGCUAGCCGGCGAACCGGAGCAUCUCCCCGAGUCGACAGGCCUCAGGAGAAACCAGCCCUGCCAACACCUUGAUCCUGGAUUUGCGGCCUUCAGAACUGUGAGAGAGGUUCCUUCCUUGGAGACCAUCUCCAGAACUGCUGGGGCUCAGACAAGAGGAGAGAAGCGAGGGGCCAUCCACGGGUCUGCAGCAGCCCCAGCAGCCCCAGCCCUCCACCAGCCUUCAUGGUGACCCUGUCAUUCCCAUUUUCCAGAUUCACUUACAAAGCAGGGAAGCAGGAGGAAAAUUCAGGUUAAGAAGUGGGUCCCAAACAGUGGUCCUGACAACCAGCCCCGGAAGAUAGAGCCACACAGUUAUCAUCUGUCCUGAAGGGUGUGGACAU